ACUUCCAACGGUGCGCGCAAAAACAUUGUCAAAUGCCCAUAUCUAAGAGAACCAGCUAGACUUUAAAUGUUUAUUUAAUUUUAUGAUCGGCUCAAAACUUUUAGUUUUGCAAUUGCUAUAGUUUUGCAAUGCCGUUUCUUUCUAUGCUCGUUAUUGUAAGGGCCUGUUCAUAUGAUCCCGCUUACCGCCACCGGGACGUCUCGCUUACCGAGACGAAUAUUUCCGUGCGUUCAUAUGGAGUAUUUCGUCCCGCUUGCCGAG